CAGCAAAGCAGAGUUGGAGACCCUUCACUUUCUGGAGGACCCCAGAAAGGACUUUUCCUCACAGGAUUCAUAUCCACUGAUCAAGCUACUCUUUGUGAGAUUCAACAUCACUUUCCCAUCAUCGGCACCACUCCAUCCAAACAAAGGGCAAAGAUCCAUUCCAGAGGGUGUCCCACCGUCCAAAAUCAACCCAAGCAGAACCUGUGCCGUGCAAGGCGACGGGAGGACCAGCUUCCUUCACCCUUUAUUCUCCAAAUACUACAACUUGGAAGUUGGCAGGAGCGGCUCACAGCUCAGAAAACACUGCUUCCUCUUUCUUUCCUGUGUAAUGGCAACUGAUGUGAAUUUGGGCCGACCACAGAAACACUGUUAUGGUUAAAUCACAGGCCUGGGGAGACCAGGUGCUUCCCCAACACCCUUGGGAAUCACAUUCGCCCCUGAGUGUUGGUCUAGGUUCAGCUGUCUCUACCUCUGACCUCAUCCACUAUAAGCUUAUAGGCAAAACCUUCCCUGGACCAGUGCUAUGAGGUGAAACCCACCCCCACGCCUUCAUGCAGCAGCAGCAGCAGGACGAGGAAGCAUGUGGAGGGAACGGAGGCAUGGGGGUUACUGAGAAUGAGAAGUUUUGAGAGCAGGCGAGGGACUACUCAUGGCUAAAACAAGGCUAUAAACAGGAUAAUUUAUUUCUCAAUCAUACUUUUGAGACAGAUAGAGCACUUUCAUUGGGCCAAUUUUGUAAAGUGAAACUACACUGUAUCAUAUGCUGUCCCUGUUGACCUUUGUGCUGACAUGUAUGCUUCUAAUUUUCUCAGUAAGAGAAAGAAUGGAGAAUACAUCCAUCCACAUCAAAGUCAAGCCUGAGAAUAAAAUGGUAUUGCCAGAAAA